rnacentral:rRNA from 1 species
UACAGAGGGGGCGAGCGUUGUUCGGAAUUACUGGGCGUAAAGGGCGCGUAGGCGGCCCGCUAAGUCGAACGUGAAAUCCCUGGGCUCAACCCAGGAACUGCGUCCGAUACUGGUUGGCUUGAAUCCGGGAGAGGGAUGUGGAAUUCCAGGUGUAGCGGUGAAAUGCGUAGAUAUCUGGAGGAACACCGGUGGCGAAGGCGACAUCCUGGACCGGUAUUGACGCUGAGGCGCGAAAGCCAGGGGAGCAAACGGG